AGAGUUUGAUCCUGGCUCAGGACGAACGCUGGCGGCGUGCUUAACACAUGCAAGUCGAACGAUGAAGCCUAGCUUGCUAGGUGGAUUAGUGGCGAACGGGUGAGUAAUACGUGAGUAACCUACCUUUAACUCUGGGAUAAGCCUGGGAAACUGGGUCUAAUACCGGAUACGACCAAUCUCCGCAUGGGGUGUUGGUGGAAAGCGUUAUGUAGUGGUUAUAGAUGGGCUCACGGCCUAUCAGCUUGUUGGUGAGGUAACGGCUCACCAAGGCGACGACGGGUAGCCGGCCUGAGAGGGUGACCGGCCACACUGGGACUGAGACACGGCCCAGACUCCUACGGGAGGCAGCAGUGGGGAAUAUUGCACAAUGGGCGCAAGCCUGAUGCAGCGACGCCGCGUGAGGGAUGACGGCCUUCGGGUUGUAAACCUCUGUUAGCAGGGAAGAAGAGAGAUUGACGGUACCUGCAGAGAAAGCGCCGGCUAACUACGUGCCAGCAGCCGCGGUAAUACGUAGGGCGCGAGCGUUGUCCGGAAUUAUUGGGCGUAAAGAGCUUGUAGGCGGUUUGUCGCGUCUGCUGUGAAAGGCCGGGGCUUAACCCCGUGUAUUGCAGUGGGUACGGGCAGACUAGAGUGCAGUAGGGGAGACUGGAAUUCCUGGUGUAGCGGUGGAAUGCGCAGAUAUCAGGAGGAACACCGAUGGCGAAGGCAGGUCUCUGGGCUGUAACUGACGCUGAGAAGCGAAAGCAUGGGGAGCGAACAGGAUUAGAUACCCUGGUAGUCCAUGCCGUAAACGUUGGGCACUAGGUGUGGGGGACAUUCCACGUUUUCCGCGCCGUAGCUAACGCAUUAAGUGCCCCGCCUGGGGAGUACGGCCGCAAGGCUAAAACUCAAAGGAAUUGACGGGGGCCC
rnacentral:rRNA from 1 species